GUGGGGAAUUUUGCGCAAUGGGCGAAAGCCUGACGCAGCAACGCCGCGUGCGGGACGAAGGCCUUCGGGUCGUAAACCGCUUUCAGCAGGGAUGAAACUGACAGUACCUGCAGAAGAAGCCCCGGCUAACUACGUGCCAGCAGCCGCGGUAAUACGUAGGGGGCAAGCGUUAUCCGGAUUCAUUGGGCGUAAAGCGCGCGUAGGCGGCCCGUUAAGUCAGAUGUGAAAACCGGGGGCUCAACCCGCGGCCUGCAUCUGAAACUGGCGGGCUUGAGUCUGGUAGAGGGAAGUGGAAUUCCCAGUGUAGCGGUGAAAUGCGCAGAUAUUGGGAGGAACACCAGUGGCGAAGGCGGCUUCCUGGGCCACGACUGACGCUGAGGCGCGAAAGCUAGGGGAGCGAACAGGAUUAGAAACCCCAGUAGUCC
rnacentral:rRNA from 1 species